CAUCAUACGAUACCCGCAAGUGUCACACAUAGAUUUAAGGGCAAACCCGAGUGCGUCUUAAAUGUGUGCAAGGAUCAAGUCUCACACAUAUGAUGACUCAUGGUACAUAAAUCAAUGUCACAUCUUUAUUAUAUAAUAGAGGUUCUGUACAAAAUAGCUAAAUAAUUACAUCAUAUGAUGACAACGAUCCUCCACGACCAUAGUUGAUUGGGAGAUGACAGUCUAGCUCUCACGAACUCAUCACGUCAUCCUUCAUGCUCCUCAUCUUGGCAGUACCUGUUCUUGACCUAGUGUGAGUACAACAAAAAUGAGUUCACAUACGCUCAUCGCUCAACAAGUUAUGAGGAAUAAUGUGCAUGAGCUCGCUUACGGUGAGAGCUCAUGUGAAGUGUAAGGCUUACCAAAGAGAAUGGUUAAGGCUCAGCAUUGCUUUUAACAAGUUGGUCAAAAUUUUAUUAACAGUUACUAAGUAUAAGUAGAUAUCAUCGCAAUUAAAUAAGAGAUCACAAUUAAUAAUAAAUCCCACAGUGCAAUGCAAAUGACAGAUUAAGUUUAAUUCCAUAAGUUAAUCAUGCAAGAGUCUUGAGUCGCUCUUGACCGUGAGCACGAUUGAUAUACUAGUUUUACGUUCUGCAGAGGUUGUGCAUCUUUACCCAUAAGACGUGUUUCCCGUUUAGCCAGGGUUUGCAAGACCCUUAGACACUCCCAAGGUGAAUGGCUAGGGAUCCACUGUGAGGCCUUUAUAAAGUUCCACUAGAUGAGAGAACCCGCUAUGGAUUCCGAGCCAAAGGCGAUAUAGGAAUCCCUCGUUAGAAAAGCUUUACAGACAGUCCGACCCAAGGACCUCCCUAUACCUCACUCCUCCACCCCACUUUCCCCUUUCAGGAAAUGAUUAAGUCACACUAGCUUUUCUAAUUAAUCAGCCAAGGGCAUCCCAUUCCACCCUUAUGGUAGCACUGUUAUCUCAAGUUAAGCUCCAUGUUCCAAUUAACACCAUAGUCAUAUCAUGAACAAUAAAUAAUUCAGUAACAAUGAUAAAGCAUGAUCAUAUGUCAUAUAGCAUUACUUCCCAAAAACCAAGUAGAGCAUAGCCAAACUACCCAAUAGUUCAUUUGUAUGCAAGGUGUGGGGUAAACAAAACUAGGGUAACCUAUUAGGUCCCAUCAAAUUAACCUGAGCAUGUCAUAGUGAUUAGUAAUAAUAUUAUUAGGUAAAGAAGAGUGAUCAAGGGCACAACUUGCCUUAUACUUACGAUAACCUUAUAGUUCAAAUGUUGACCCAAAAGCUGGGCUUAAGAUUUCUCAUCACCUCUACUCGUAGCAAUACAUAUAACCAAGCAAAUAAUUGAUAUGGUAAUUUUACACCAAAGCAUAAGAAUAAACUGUGUAGGAAUAUUCUACGCGCCGCUACGAGGUUGUAGGUUUGAGAAUCACUAAAUUCUGAGUUAUGGUUGAAGAGAGGUGGUUUUUGGAAGAUCUAUGUGAUUAGAUAUGAAAAUUAUGUUCCAUGUGGACUAACAUAAAGCGUGUGAGAAAUAUAUUCUAAAUAAACACCUUAAUUCAUCUCUAGUCCAAGUUGUAACUUAAUUAGAGAUCAUAAUUUGUCAGGUUAUAAUUAUAGACAAAUUAACUUUGAUCUAGAAAGGUUAGAACAUAGGUUAAUCAAAUAUCUAAUUAUAAAAGUCUGUUAUAUGACAAAAAUAGUGUUAUUACUACGUAGGUGAUUUUUACUACGAAGAUAAUGCAAAUUGAAUGGGUCAAAUCAGAGUUAAAAUACAAAAGUAUAGCAAAAACAAGUUUAUGGGUCAUUUUGGUAUUAAUUCUAUACUAAAAGUUACUUCUAAGGGCAAAUUUGCAAAUUCCUGAUGUAUCCUAUUUAUUUUAAUCAGUUAAUGGAUGGCGGGUUGAGUCAUUAAAAGAGGAUUGGCUCUUUUGCAAGUGUUGCUCGGCUAAAAGGGUAUUGGUUGAUCUCGACCGCCCGUUCAAAACCUGAUGGCCCAGAUUAAAAACUCUCUUAUCCGAACCGGUACGAAAUAUUAACCAUCAGAUUGAGAUCUGAUUGUCCGGAUCCAAUGUAACCAAACAAUUAUUCUAUGUUCUAAUCCCGAUCGCUCUAGGUGGAUCCCUUCAUUUUAGAGGAAUUAGAAUUCACUUAAUAAAGUAACUUAUUUAGUUUGGAAUUUGACAUUCCACCACUUUAUAAAGUUCAGAUAUAAGCCUAUCUCAAAUUUAUGGGGUGGAGGAUGAGAAAUGAUUUUAUACAUUAGUAGAAUUUGUUUCUACUUUAUAACUUAUAUGGAACUCUUCGUCUCACUCCUCUAUUUAAAAAUAUAGCACAUAAAUAUCUCCAAAAUAUUACUAAUAAUAGUAUACAAAUAUAAUUUCCAUAAAACCGAAUUAGCUUAGUAUACAAAUAUAAUUUACAUAAAACCGAAUUAGCUUAGAAUGGAAUUCAAUUACAUUGAUCCAAAGGGGCGUAACCGAAUUCUUACUCUACUUUUAAUCAGAACUGUAUGCUACGCGAUCGACGGCACCCAUCCCCGAACCGUGCCCAUGAGAUCCAAUCUCCACCGUUUCAUCCGGGGUCUACGAUUGACGCUCCUCUCCCUAUCACGAACAACCCUAGGCAGCGCCGCCGAGCUCCUACGACGGAUGCUCGCUGGGGACCACGAACCCGAUGUCCAAAAGCCAAACACUCAAUAGACCAGUGAUAAAUGAAGAAGAGGACCUAGCAAAACAGGACGACGUGAGUUUACCUGAAGCGAGGACGCUAGUGGUGCCGCCUAUGCUGUGGCGCGGCUCUGAGUCUCCGGUGAUGAAUCCCAGCCACCCCAACAGCCCAUCACUCCCGCAACCACCACGGAUACGUUACGCGAACCCUAGAGAUCGUCCAUGGCAAACCUCCGAAGGUGGAGCAGCGAUGUACGCAUGAGUCGACCAAGAUGGCUCCAUCUUCUCUUCGGCACCAACGGCGACUUCUCUGUUCUCUGUGUCUGGCUCCGAUUCCGGUUUAUGGGUGGAGGGUCAAGGGACACAGCGAGGUGGUUGGAACUGCCCUGCGAAUCCCGCGCGGGAUCCAUGUAGUCGGUCGUUCAGGCAAGCGUAAAGGGGAAGGGGAGUCUGGAGGCUUGGGCCCGCGUGCUAAUGAGCAGAGGCAUUCAGUGGAUACGCGCGCGAAGUCUGCAUUCAGCGCCAAGUUGAGGCGUGAGUUGGGCUGCGUAGGAGAAAAGUAGGCUGGCCCGCGGUGAGGGUAUGCUAGGCCGACGUGUGAGGUUAGGGUGGGCUAGUCUGAGGGG
rnacentral:lncRNA from 1 species